AACGAACGCUGGCGGCAUGCCUAACACAUGCAAGUCGAACGAGACCUUCGGGUCUAGUGGCGCACGGGUGCGUAACGCGUGGUAACCUGCCCUUAGGUUCGGAAUAACUCCCCGAAAGGGGUGCUCAUACCGGAUAAUGUCUUCGCACCAAAGAUUUAUCGCCUUUGGAUGGGCCCGCGUUGGAUUAGCUAGUUGGUAGGGUAAAAGCCUACCAAGGAGACGAUCCAUAGCUGGUCUGAGAAGAUGAUCAGCCACACUGGAACUGAGACACGGCCCAGACUCCUACGGGAGGGAGCAGUGGGGAAUAUUGGACAAUGGGCGAAAGCCUGAUCCAGCAAUGCCGGGUGAGUGAUGAAGGGCUUAGGGUUGUAAAGCUGUUUUACACGGGAUGAUAAUGACAGUACCGGGAGAAUAAGCUCCGGCUAACUACGUG
rnacentral:rRNA from 1 species